rnacentral:rRNA from 1 species
AGUGAACGCUGGCGGUAGGCCUAACACAUGCAAGUCGAACGGCAGCACAGUAAGAGCUUGCUCUUACGGGUGGCGAGUGGCGGACGGGUGAGGAAUACAUCGGAAUCUACUUUUUCGUGGGGGUUAACGUAGGGAAACUUACGCUAAUACCGCAUACGUCUUACGGUUGAAAGCAGGGGAUCUUAGGACCUUGCGCGAUUGAAUGAGCCGAUGUCGGAUUAGCUAGUUGGCGGGGUAAAGGCCCACCAAGGCGACGAUCCGUAGCUGGUCUGAGAGGAUGGUCGGCCACACUGGAACUGAGACACGGUCCAGACUCCUACGGGAGGCAGCAGUGGGGAAUAGUGGACAAAGGGCGCAAGCCUGAUCCAGCCAGACCGCGUGGGUGAAGAAGGCCUUCGGGUUGUAAAGCCCUUUUGUUGGGAAAGAAAAGCAGCAGGUUAAUACCCCGCUGUUCUGACGUUACCCAAAGAAUAAGCACCGGCUAACUUCGUG